rnacentral:rRNA from 1 species
AGGAAAGUAGGGGAUCGCAAGACCUUGCGCUUUUGGAGCGGCCGAUGUCUGAUUAGCUAGUUGGUGAGGUAAAGGCUUACCAAGGCUUCGAUCAGUAGCUGGUCUGAGAGGACGACCAGCCACACUGGGACUGAGACACGGCCCAGACUCCUACGGGAGGCAGCAGUGGGGAAUUUUGGACAAUGGGGGAAACCCUGAUCCAGCCAUGCCGCGUGAGUGAAGAAGGCCUUCGGGUUGUAAAGCUCUUUCAGCCGGAACGAAAAGGUUACGGUUAAUACCCGUGACUAAUGACGGUACCGGAAGAAGAAGCACCGGCUAACUACGUGCCAGCAGCCGCGGUAAUACGUAGGGUGCGAGCGUUAAUCGGAAUUACUGGGCGUAAAGCGUGCGCAGGCGGUUUUGUAAGUCAGAUGUGAAAUCCCCGGGCUCAACCUGGGAACUGCGUUUGAAACUACAAGGCU